rnacentral:rRNA from 1 species
UAGAUACCCUGGUAUUAAUAAAAAUAAUAAUUAGUAAUAUUAUUGAAAUUUAAGAAUUUUGGCGGUUAAUUAUUAAUUAGAGGAGCUUGUUUUAGAAAUAAGAAUUAACUCUUUAAAUUUUAAUAAUAAAAAGUUUAUUCAUCUCCGUUAGUAAAUAAAUAAUUGUAUAAAGAAUAUUACUUUUAAUUUCAGGUCAAGAUGUAAUGUUUAUUUAAUAUAAAUUAGCUACAAUUAUAGAAUAAUGGAUUUAUUAAAAGAAGGUAUUUAAAGAAAUUGAAUUUGAUUGUAAUAAUAAUUAGAAAGUUAUUAUGAAUAAGAAUUAUUAAUGUACAUAUUGCCCGUCACUUCUGUUAUUAGGUGGAAUAAGUCGUAACAAAGUA